CCUACGGGAGGCAGCAGUGGGGAAUAUUGCGCAAUGGGCGAAAGCCUGACGCAGCGACGCCGCGUGAGGGAUGAAGGUCCUCCGAUCGUAAACCUCUGUCAGUAGGGAAGAAAGGUCACUGUGGUAAUCAGCAGUGAAUUGACGGUAACUGCAAAGGAAGCACCGGCUAACUCCGUGCCAGCAGCCGCGGUAAUACGGAGGGUGCGAGCGUUAAUCGGAAUUACUGGGCGUAAAGAGCUCGUAGGCGGUAUGUCAAGUCAAGGGUGAAAUCUCCGCGCUCAACGUGGGAACUGCCUUUGAAACUGGCAAACUUGAGUGUGUGAGAGGUUAGUGGAAUUCGAGGUGUAGGAGUGAAAUCCGUAGAUAUCUGGAGGAACAUCAGUGGCGAAGGCGACUAUCUGGCACCUAACUGACGCUGAGGAGCGAAAGCGUGGGUAGCAAACAGGAUUAGAUACCCCAGUAGUC
rnacentral:rRNA from 1 species